AAGCAUGGCAUACAGAUCAUUUCUCGUGGCCUUGGUGAUCGCCUCUCUGAUUGUCUCCAUGGCCGCCGCGCAGCCGCCUCCCAUAUGGACGCUUAAUGAAGGAGGCAAGCCCUCGAUUGAAGGCUUGCCAUAAAUUUCAUUUAUGAUAAUAAAAUCAUGUACUGUA